rnacentral:tRNA from 1 species
GGGGCUGUAGCUCAUUUGGUAGAGCGCCUGGUUCGCAAUCAGGAGGUAAGGGGUUCGACUCCCCUCAGCUCCACCA